UACGUAGGGUGCAAGCGUUUGUCCGGAAUUAUUGGGCGUAAAGAGCUCGUAGGUGGCCUGUCGCGUCGGCUGUGAAAACUCGGGGCUCAACUCCGAGCUUGCAGUCGAUACGGGCAGGCUAGAGUUCGGCAGGGGAGACUGGAAUUCCUGGUGUAGCGGUGAAAUGCGCAGAUAUCAGGAGGAACACCGGUGGCGAAGGCGGGUCUCUGGGCCGAUACUGACACUGAGGAGCGAAAGCGUGGGGGAGCGAACAGG
rnacentral:rRNA from 1 species